UACGGGGGGUGCGAGCGUUGUCCGGAAUCACUGGGCGUAAAGGGCGCGUAGGUGGCCUGAUAAGGGUGUGGUGAAAGUCCGGGGCUUAACCCCGGAUCUGCCGUGCCGACUGUUAGGCUAGAGUGCUGUAGGGGCAGGCGGAAUUCCGGGUGUAGUGGUGAAAUGCGUAGAGAUCCGGAGGAACACCAGUGGCGAAGGCGGCUGGCUGGACCUGACCUGACGCUGAGGCGCGAAGGCGUGGGGAGCGAACGGG
rnacentral:rRNA from 1 species